rnacentral:misc_RNA from 1 species
UCUCACCUGACUGAGAGUAGGACACCAUGCAGCCUUACCUCCGCAAGCUCCGUAAGCUGAAGCGCGGCAAGCCCAGCGACCUCGAGGAGAGCGUCGCGAAGGCGCUGUUCGAGCUCGAGACGUCGCACAAGACCCUACGUCAGGAGCUGCCGCGCUUCCACGUCAACACCGUGCGCGAGGUCAAGGUGCCGCGCUCGAAGAAGACGGUGCUGGUCGUCUUCUACCCCCUGCGCUUCCUGAUGCUGGUGCGCAAGGUCCAGCGUGCGCUCACCUCUGAGCUGGAGAAGCGCCACCCGGGCUACCUGGUGAUGCUGGUUGCGCAGCGCAAGAUCACGAAGCGCCCGACGGACGUGUACAAGCUGCAGAAGGUGCAGCGCUCGAAGACGAGCACGGCGGUGUUCGAGAAUAUUCUGAACGACAUGAUCUACCCGAGCGACGUGGUGGGCCGCCGCUGGCGCUGCCGCACGGACGGGAGCAAGCUGAUGAAGGUGUUCCUGGACGCCCGCGACCGCAAGCGCGUCGAGUCCCGCCUUCGCGCUGUGGCGUACGUGUACAAGCAGCUGACGCACCGCCGCGUGUCGUUCGGCUUCAUGUGGAACCCGAAGCUGCAGCAGGUGUCGACCCGGUAGGCGGUGGCAGAGGAAGCGAGCGUGUGCGUGUGCAUCGCUCUCACCAUCGUGCCAGACGUCUCUGAGCGGCCUCCUCCCCACCCCCCGCCCUUUCCGUCUUCGUCCCUUCUCUCUCUCAUGCACUUCCGUGCCAUUAUUUUGUUUUCGUGUGAGUUGUUAUUUCCCAACGCGAUCACCAACGCGAUCACCGCCCCCUCCCCCCAGCACAGCACAGCAGCAGAAGUGCGGACGCGCUCGGCGUGCGCGUGGGCAACGCUGGUGGGACAACCACGUAUGGAGGAAUGGGGCGACGGCGAUGGCAGCCCGUUCUACGAGCACCAUCACCACCACCACCACCUCUCCCUAGCCAGGUCAGAUGCCACUAUUACACACACGGACGCGUCUGCUGACGACUCCUGCCGCUCUUACCACCACCACCAUCACCGCCACCAGCCCCUCCCUCUCACUGUCGGAAAGGGGUGACGGUGGGGAGGGUCGGAUGGGGGGCACGUGAUGACGAUAUGGCGCCUGCCUCUCUGCGUGUGUCUGUGUGUGUCUUCCACUGUCCUGCGUGCGAUGGCCGCGACACAGAGAGAGAGAGCGGAAGACGCCCUUCUCCUUGCGCCACACACACACUUCGCACCUUCCACAGUCCCCCCCCCUCUCUCUCCCUCUUCCUCUGCCCCUCUGACGGUGGUGGUCCCCCAUCGCCGUAUCCGUAUGGCCCAACGAGCCACUCUCUGCUGCCGCAAG